GUGCUUGCUUCGGCAGCACAUAUACUAAAAUUGGAAUGAUACAGAGAAGAUUAGCAUGGCCCCUGCCACAAGGAUGACACGCAAAUUCGUGAAAUGUUUCAUAUUAAA